rnacentral:rRNA from 1 species
ACGAGCUCCCCUAACGUUAUUCGGUAUUACUGGGCUUAAAGAGUUCGUAGGCGGCCUGACAGGUCAGGUGUGAAAUCCCUCGGCUCAACCGAGGAACUGCGCUUGAAACCGUCAGGCUUGAGGGAGAUAGAGGUGAGCGGAACAGAUGGUGGAGCGGUGAAAUGCGUUGAUAUCAUCUGGAACACCGGUGGCGAAAGCGGCUCACUGGAUCUUUUCUGACGCUGAGGAACGAAAGCUAGGGUAGCGAACGGGAUUAGAUACCCCGGUAGUCCUAGCCGUAAACGAUGAGCACUAGCCCGUGGGGACUCUCACAUCCUCUCGGGCGUAGCGAAAGUGUUAAGUGCUCCGCCUGGGGAGUAUGGUCGCAAUGCUG